rnacentral:lncRNA from 11 species
AAAUUAAAUGCACACAGGUCAGCGCAGUUGAUGUCAAGAUAGAUUUUUUUAAAAGAACAUCAAAUUUGAUGUCUUUAAAAAUUUAUGAAAAUAAAUUAAGUGAACAUUCUAUUUAGGUAACAAAUUGCUUCAUGUAUAGGGGUAUAUAUAUAUAUAUAUAUAUAUAUAUAUAUAUAUAUAUGCAUAUAUAGACACACACACACACACUUCGACAAUUACUUUUUUGGAAACAAGUCAUAAUAAUUGUAUUUCCAUGUGUACUUUAUCAUUUAUUCUGACUACAAUAGAUGGCACAUAUCCCUUUAAAAAUCUAAUAAUUAUAUAUCUUACAAUUUUUUAGAUUGUGUCAUGAGAAAUCAACAGAAUCCUGGACUACUUGGACUAAUUUAAAUGCAAGGUCACCCGAAAAGAGAACUUAAGAAGGGGAAUUUUUUGGUGGUGCCUGUAGUCUGCCUGAAGCAGCAGGCAAAUUAUCUAUUCCUAAGGGCUAGAGGGAAGAUUUCUAGCAUUACAACCUUCAAAAGUUGCAAGGUGACUGAAACGCAGGUGGCCACGGAAGCAACCAACAUGGUAAUUCAAGGCAUGCAUCGCUAAAUUUUUGUUUAAAAUAAAAUCUAUGAACAUCAGGUUUGAUUCAUAUUUGUUUUUUGUUUUUAAAUUCCUUGUUGAUUGCAAAUUUGAAAAAGGUCAAAUAUAUUCCAAGUAAUGUUCUGGCUUACAGAUCAAUUGCAAUAUAGGAAAUACUUUUUAAAAAAUUGAUAUCCAUUAAAAUGUAUAUCUGAACCCUUUUUUUAAGUGAUAUACUGCUAUAGAAGGAAUUCAAAAAUGUGCACCUGUAAAGCAGCAAGUAAGUAGAAAUCGAUUUUAAUAUUUGUGAAAUGCUUAGGACUAACAAAUUGCUUUAUACAUUUUUUUAACAAAAUGUAUUUGUGUGUAAUAAAAUUUUUCUGUGAAAUAAACAAAUAAAACAAAAGUAAUGAGUAAUAGCUUUGUAUGAGCUAUGAAAUGAGCUGGAAGAUUUUGUCAUAUAUAGUGAAUAAAAUGUUAUGUUUUCUUGGGAGCAAAAUAACAAUGAAAAUCAAUUUUAACAAUAUUCUAGCCCCGUGAGCGGUGGAGGGCGCAGUGGAGGAAGAGGCCUCCAGGUUUCGCUGCCGUUGUUACACAUAUUGAAAUUAAAAUAUACCUCCAUAAAAUACAUAUAUAAAUACACAAAAAAGUGGAGUUUAAAAUUCACCAUUAAAACUGUCUGGGUAGGCCUGCCAGAAGAGAUAGGUCUUCACUUGUCUCUUAAAUUCCGACAGCUGAUUCAACUGUGAAAGCUCUACCGACAGGUCGUCCACAGUCAUGGAGUGGCCGAUGAAAAGGUCCUCUGGGUGGUGGUUGCCAGUCGGGUUUUGGCUAGUUGGAGUAACUGCCUUCCAGAGGACCUAAGUGUGGGGCAGAUAGUACAGGAAAAGGCAAUCCUUUAGGUGUUAUCAUGCACUUUCUUUGUACAGUAGUCUCACUUAUCCAACACUCUCUUAUCC